UCUUUCAUUUUCAGAUUCAAAUGCAUUUAGAGAAGAGAGGUCUACUAGGGUUUUCCUCUCUUUAUCAAUUUUUGCUAAGAUUUUCAAUCCCUGUCUUUCUCUCUUCCUCUUCCCCUGCUGCAAAUCUCAAUAUCUAUUCCAAUAGUUUCUGGUAAGCGUCAUAGAUUUGAAACAUUACAACCAUAUUGCCGAUAGCGCUCUUUUCGUUUUUCGUCCCAUCAUCUGGUCACCCGCCAAAUGAUGGCAACUAGGCCUGAAAGUCUUUCUCUCCGAACUUGCUUUUGUCCAAGGCUUCUAAACCUUCGAUGAGGUGAAGGAACGUAUUCGGAUCUGACCUUCUUAAUAUAUAACUACAUCUCAAACCAAGCAUAUCCUCGCUGCCGCAACCUCCGCCUGCCGCUGCGCAACCUGCCGUCGCCGCGCAAGACGCUGCCUCAACAAUUAGAGCAAAGUGACAGAGCAACAUUCUUUGUCAAAUUCAGAAGGUGGUGGAAGGGAGUAAAUAUAUUUCAGAAGGCCUAUGUUUUGAUUCCAGUACACGAGGAUCUUCAUUGAAACUUGAUCAUUAUUUGUAUUCCGGAUAAAGGUGAUGAAUCAGGGCCAAUCAUACUUCAUCUGGAUUCUUUGAGUCUUCACUCUAGCAGAUCACUAUUUGAUAACAUCAAAAGGUUAGGAUGAAGUAGCACUUGAUUUAUUGUAUACCAUAUAUGUGACAUAUCUAGUUCAUUUGUGCUCUGGUUAUUAGUUCUUAAACAUAUCACAGGUUACAGCAGUAAUAGCAGUAAAGUAUAAUAAUGUUUUAUCAUAACUCGUUCAAUAGAUUAUAUCUUAUAUGUAUAUAAUAACUAUUUGUUGAAUACUUUUUA